ACGACGUGGGAAGGUCACAGAAAUGUUGAAAGACAUCAGAUUGGGCAUACGCUUCACCCGUGCAACUUCGUCAUGUGCUCCACGGCAGCACAAGCCUUUACGGCUGUGCCACUAUGUGUGGAAACGUCGUAGCGGAUGAAUGUGAAUUAUGGAUCUCCAAGUGGCGU